rnacentral:rRNA from 1 species
AACGAACGCUGGCGGUAUGCCUAACACAUGCAAGUCGAACGAGAUCUUCGGGUCUAGUGGCGCACGGGUGCGUAACGCGUGGGAAUCUGCCCUUUGGUUCGGAAUAACAGUUGGAAACGACUGCUAAUACCGGAUGAUGACGAAAGUCCAAAGAUUUAUCGCCAGAGGAUGAGCCCGCGUAGGAUUAGCUAGUUGGUGUGGUAAAGGCGCACAAAGGCGACGAUCCUUAGCUGGUCUGAGAGGAUGAUCAGCCACACUGGGACUGAGACACGGCCCAGACUCCUACGGGAGGCAGCAGUGCGGAAUAUUGGACAAUGGGCGAAAGCCUGAUCCAGCAAUGCCGCGUGAGUGAUGAAGGCCUUAGGGUUGUAAAGCUCUUUUACCCGGGAUGAUAAUGACAGUACCGGGAGAAUAAGCUCCGGCUAACUCCGUGCCAGCCGCCGCCGUAA